UGGGCUUCCAUAUCUUUCCCAGC
rnacentral:miRNA from 14 species